rnacentral:rRNA from 1 species
UACGUAGGUGGCAAGCGUUGUCCGGAAUUAUUGGGCGUAAAGCGCGUGUAGGCGGCCCGGUAAGUCCGCUGUGAAAGUCGGGGGCUCAACCCUCGAAUGCCGGUGGAUACUGUCGGGCUAGAGUGCGGGAGAGGCGAGUGGAAUUCCUGGUGUAGCGGUGAAAUGCGCAGAUAUCAGGAGGAACACCAAUUGCGAAGGCAGCUCGCUGGAACGUAACUGACGCUGAGACGCGAAAGCGUGGGGAGCAAACAGG